AUUGAACGCUGGCGGCAAGCCUAACACAUGCAAGUCGAACGAGUGGCGGACGGGUGCGUAAUGUCUGGGAAACUGCCUGAUGGAGGGGGAUAACUACUGGAAACGGUAGCUAAUACCGCAUACCAUCGGAUGUGCCCAGAGGGGAUUAGCUAGUAGGUGGGGUAAAGGCUCACCUAGGCGACGAGCCCUAGAUGGUAUGAGAGGAUGACGAGCCACACUGGAACUGAGACACGGUCCAGACGACUACGGGAGGCAGCAGUGGGGAAUAUUGCACAAUGGGCGAAAGCCUGAUGCAGCCAUGCCGCGUGUAUGAAGAAGGCCUUCGAGUUGUGAAGUACUUUCAGCUGGGAGGCGUUACCCGCAGAAGAAGCACCGGCUAACUCCGUGCCAGCAGCCGCGGUAAUUC
rnacentral:rRNA from 1 species